CUUUGAUGACUCACUACAGUAACACCAGGGCUUGUCUAUGAGGAUGAGUCAGUGCACAAGAAAGAUAAAUGUGCACUUGAUAUAGAGCAGCAAUUUCACCUUCUCUUUUCCAGCUGGACACCUGCUCUUAAAUCCCAGUGCCGUUGCACAGUUUGCUUAGGAUUGUAGGUGUUCUCUGGGCAGAAGAAAUGUGCUCCUCAGGGUCCAAUAGCUCCUUUGUAUUAAUGGACAAGCGUUCAGAGUAUCCUGGGACAGGGGGGAAGGAACAUGAAAAAGUGAGAGAGGGUUCUGAAAAAUCCCAGGCCAUGAUUGCACCCCCAGUGGGUGUUGGCCAGGUCCUUUGGGAGUGACCAGGGAGGUAUAACCAAAAGUGUUGUGACAUCUUGGUCUGUGUUGCAUCGAGUUUUUGUUUUGUUUUUUUUUUUUCCAGCCAGUAGCAAAUAGAGGCAAAUUGAAACCCUACUUCAGCAGACAAGGAUUACAGAAUCCACAGGCUCUGGAGGACUCGAAGCCUGACACUUUGGCAACAUUUCCAGCUGUUUGUGUCCACUUUACUUCAUUCCCCUGGGUGGCAGCGGAGCCAUUCAGAUGCUGGCUGGGCCCCAUGCCGUUCUUGCAGCGUGUGGGUGGUUCCCCCUUGGCAGAAGGCAAACCCUCUCCGGCACAGCCCCAGAUCCCAGGCGCAUUCCUCGGGAGCCGGCCGCUCCGAUUCCCUGAUUUACGAUGGAAAGAAAAAAAACCAAAUCCAAGAGUGGGAGGGGACAUGAAGAAAAGGGGUUGGGGCCCUGUGGAAUUACAUCUCUGUUUAUAGAAAAUUUAUAUUUUAAUUAGGAAAACCCAGCAACUGGGAAGAUUUUUAUUAUAAUGAUGGCUAUUAUAAACCUGGCGUUUAUACUUGGGGUGCAUUCAAAUUUUGUUUUGUAAGUCUGGUCUUAUAUAAGCCGUUUUUAAAGCUAUCAGAUUCUGUGACCUUUUUUAGGAAAAAACCAGCAGACCAUUUUAAGUUCCAGUUGUACAUAUGCUGCUUUUUGGUAGAACAACGUGAGCUGGGGGAAUGUUUUCUUUACUGUUUGGCUUUUUGCAACUGUAAUGUUCUCAUUCACAAUGGUGAAGGCCAAACUAUUUUUUUUCUUUUUUCAUGAAAUCUGAGAGGUUGAUUAACCACAGCCAGAGGGAGCGAGUGGACUGUUUCCCUAGGGUAUGGAAGACCUACAUUUAAUCCUAUCCUUGAACUGAACCUAAAGCUGUCUGGUUUGGGUACCUACCACUAUCAUUUCACAAAAGGAGAGAGAACAGAACAGGAUCACUUGGGCUCAAGGGAAGUAACCAGAGAUGCCAGUCCAGAUCUGAAGUUUUCCAAGGCAGAAAACAGCACCAAAACAGAAUGUUCCUGGAAAAAAAAGAAGUGGUUCCAGCUGGCAUGAACAUUUUCUACAAAUUCAGAAAAAGCAUUUCGUCAAAACCCUGGAAGCUGCUUUGCUAGAGAUGCCACUUGUUCACAUCGACGCUGUCCAUCAAGCACAGACCACCACAGCAUGUUGGACAUCUUCCACAAACCGUGUCCAGAAUGCCUGCUAUAUGAAAAAGAAAGGAGAUCCUUGGAAACCAUAUGCAGAUGGCCUGAACCAAGCUAAAAGUGGAGAGAAAGAACAGACAGCCUAGGUAGGUGAUGAAGCAUAUGUUCUACAAAUCCAGACUGCCUUAAGCUAAAGCAAACAAAGCAAGCUGGGGAAAGUUACAAUGGUUUAGAUUUCCUAAGUACAACAAGUUUUAUUUAAUGUUUGAAACAAUUUUCCCUUAAGGGAUGUCCUUUCAUUUUAAGUUGAAGAAGGCUGACAACUCAUCCUAUGAAAAUUUUUUCCUUUUGCUGGAAAGAAUUAAUUUUUUGGCUAAUCCAAAAUAUUAUUUUCCCCUCUCGUGUUCAUCACCCACCUUUCAGUAUGACUCCCUCACCAUUUCAGCCCAUUACUUGCUUGUUAUUUAGAAAAGAAGUAGAUUUUCCAUAAUUGCUCUCU